rnacentral:rRNA from 1 species
UACGGAGGGUGCAAGCGUUAUCCGGAAUUAUUGGGUUUAAAGGGUGUGUAGGCGGAUUAUUAAGUCAGAGGUGAAAUAGCAUAGCUUAACUAUGUUGCUGCCUUUGAUACUGAUAAUCUUGAGUUCUGUAAAGGUAGGCGGAAUUUAUGAUGUAGCGGUGAAAUGCAUAGAUAUCAUAAAGAACUCCGAUAGCGAAGGCAGCUUACUUGACAGAAACUGACGCUGAUGCACGAAAGCAUGGGUAGCGAACAGG